AGAACCAAACAUGACUGGCAAAAAAAAAAAAAAAAAAAGUCAGGGAAUGAUUCCUAAUAAUAUUCUGCUAUACUCAUAUAUUGGUGCCUAGCCCAAUUGUCAUCAGAGAGGCUUCAUUCAGGAACUGAUGGAAAUAGAUGCAGAGACCCACAGACAAGCAUCAGGUGGAGCUCAGGGAAUUCUGUGAAAGAGGGGAAGGAAAGACUGUAGGAGCCAGUAGGAUCAAGUACACCAGAAGAAAACUCACAGAAUCAACUAACAUGGGCUCACAGGGGCUCAUAGAGACUGAACCAACACCCAGGGAGCCUGCAUAUGUCUGACCUAGGUCCUCUGCAUAUAUGUAACAGUUGUGUAGCUUGUUCUUGUGGUUAUCCUAGAAGUGGGAGCAGGGGCUGUCUCCGAUUCUUUUGCCUGCUUUUGGGACCCUUUUCAUUAGGCUGGGUUGCCUUGUCUAGUCUUAAUAUAAGGAGAGGUGCCUAGUCUUGCUGCGAUUUGAUGUCCUAUCCAUGGGAGUCCUGUCUGUAGUGGGUAGCCGUUCCAGCUUUGACCUGGAAAUACCACUCGCUUUGAGGCUUCGGUAACUGUCACACCCACAAGGCAGAGCCGAGAGAGGACCCCUGAAGACCCGAGAUCCGGAUGGAGGAGCUUCCUGGACCCUGGAUGCUGGAGGUAGACUGAGCGGAGUUCUCCAGAGAACACCGUCGGACUGCGCUACACCUUUCCCAGACCCUGUUACCUAUCCCUUCACUUUGAGGAUGUGGUGCCUGGAGACUGAGCAGCUAUCUUGAACUACCACAUAGGAGACACAUGCUGAGGACGACAAAUGAAACUCAUGCUGACUUGAUGGAGUUGCCGUAGCAGUCGGUUACGAAGACUUCUGAUUUAACCCUCUCUUAUUGGAAUAGAUUGAGCUGUAUCUCUCCCCACUCCCACACGAAGUUCAUGCGCUGAAGUCCUGACCCUCAAUGUGAUGGGAACUUGGAAGGAUUAGCAGUAAAGAAAACUUCAGAGCUGCUUUAUGUGAUUGCACAUCAUGUAUCUCCCACACUCCCCAAAGGACCUGCUCUAUACCCAGAAGAAAGGACUGCUCCAGAAAGAAGUCAUGAAGAAUUGAAACAGAGAGACCUUGCCUGCCAUCUGUUACAUUCCCCUUUGUCCAGGCAUCUCCCACGUCUACAUGGUUGUCCAUAUCUCAUUAUCUUAUUCAUAAAAUGGGUGGUUCAUCCUGAUUCUACAGGCCUUAAGCUUGGUUUCCUUUGUCAAGUAAACCUAUGGUUGAAUAAAUUUGCUAUGCUUUUCUCUUA